UGCUGCGCAACAGCAGCGAGGAGUCGAGGACUCUGAAAUUUCAAAUAAAUAAAUAAAAAUGACAUCAUCGACUAACACAGUGCAUUACAUUGAGUUCCAUACGCUAUUUUAACCAGAUUGAGAGCGUCUGCUAUUUCCACCUCAUGGAAGUCCCACAGGGGGUUGUGGUGAGAGCUGUCUGCUAUGUCGGUGUUGAAGUCCUCCUCCGCCGCAGGCUGGUUCAGCUCCAGAGCUCCGCACACGGAGGGAGAAGAGCCAGGAUGGAGAUUGGGAAAAGCCCCCCCCCCUCGCUCUCCUCCAUUUCAGCAGCUGACUGUCACUCACACGCUUGGUUGAAGUCAUGUAUUUGUUCCUUUUAUGUUGCUGUUGAGUGUUGUUAUACUGAUUGUAUUGUGAACUUAAUGGCAGAAUCUGUCGUUUCUAUAACCGAAACUAAAUUGCCCUUUCUCCGUCGAGUGAGCUACAAUAAAUAAAUAAAAAUAAAUAAAUGCUCGGGGAAGUUCAGACAAGCACCCAUAUAUUAACUGGAGACGUCACAUAAUAGUGAGUGUGAGGGUGCCUGGAGGAUGUGACAGAAGCUUAGCAGAUGUUGCAAUAGCGAUAGAAUGGUGUAAAAGCAAGAUUUGUUUUGCUGCAAAAAAAUAUCUACGGCCAGUAAUAGGCUUUAGUGAGAAUAACCUAAAAUAUGGCAAGAUUUAACAAAUGAGUCCGUUCUAAAUUGGUUUUAAUUGGAUUUUCUCUGCCAUACUGCCAUCUAGUGUUAAGGGGGAAACCGUUGUUAAAUUGGACUAUAUUGUGGGGGUAAAACAGCUCACGUCUCUUUUGCUCAUCAAGUCCGCUGGAAUAGAAAGCAUCGAUAAAGUGUAUAGAAAAAUGCAGAUGAUGUCAAAACAGAAAAUUUGGAUUUAUUGUUUCCAAAAGUUGGGGCCUGGUAAACACUGUACAGUCAAUUGCACUGUGGGCAGUUGUACAUUACAGACUGACAUGGUUGUAUCUUCUGCUGCAGGGAAGUUCUUUCAAUAUUUCAAAAUGACCACCAGGGUGUUUUUGCACUUUCAGCUACAUAGCACAUAAUGAUGGCAAGUUAUGCAUGGAAUGUGGUCAGAAAAUAUGAAACAUGCAAGUGUAUUGCAGCAAGACUGUAAAUUGAACCGUUCAAAUUCCUCAUCCACUCGAUUGGCCAUAAAAGGCAAAAAAUAAAUACUAUCAAUGCUUAAGUGUCAAGCUCAGAGUUAUUUACAGUAUGUACACUAUCACUAUUUAAAAUAUUG